AAGGCUUUAGCUUAAUUAAAGUAUCUGAGUUGCAUUCAGAUUAUGUAGAAUAAAAUUCUGCAAGUCUUA
rnacentral:tRNA from 1 species